UGUCUGUUUAAGGUUACAUACAUCAAAUAAAUAGGGUAGGUAGGUCGGUAUUUCCAUUUUAUUUUAUUUUUUUCAUUUUAAUUUUUUGGCAUGAUUUUAGAGUCAUGCGGUUUUAUCUUGUCAUGGGUCGAGUUCACCUGUAUUUUUAAAGAUUGAAUUAUUUCCCUUUGUUAUUGGUUGGAAAAAAUGGUGGCAAAGUGUUUAUUUCAUCACACGAGUUGCGAAAUUUCCUUAAAACAGCUGCCAUAUUUAUGAUUGUGAACAUUAGGAUGUAUCAGGCAAUUGACUUAUAUUAUUGGCAACGCUACAAAAAUGUAAAUGCACUUUUGACUCUAGUUCAGUUUAUUUUUCACUUUACGACGGAAAUAAAAUGACUAUUUAAAGGGUCGGUGCUCAAAAAUAGGGUAGGUCAGGUAACCGUAAACAGACAUAUAUUUUUUUGGCCUUAGGAAAGACUAAAAGAAGCAAUAAUCUGAGGCUUAUUAAUAUGUAGUUUGCUCAUCACGACUGCCUACUUUGACAUAUUAGUUUUAUAUAUAUAUAUAUAAUAAUUAUUAUCAGUAUUAAAAUUGAAUAGUCAC
rnacentral:lncRNA from 1 species